rnacentral:rRNA from 1 species
UACGUAGGGUGCGAGCGUUAAUCGGAAUUACUGGGCGUAAAGCGUGCGCAGGCGGUGAUGUAAGUCCGAUGUGAAAUCCCCGGGCUUAACCUGGGAACUGCAUUGGUGACUGCAUUGCUGGAGUAUGGCAGAGGGGGGUGGAAUUCCACGUGUAGCAGUGAAAUGCGUAGAGAUGUGGAGGAACACCGAUGGCGAAGGCAGCCCCUGGGCCAACACUGACGCUCAUGCACGAAAGCGUGGGGAGCAAACAGG